UACGAACCGUCCAAACGUUACUCGGAAUCACUGGCUUAAAGGGUGCGUAGGCCGCGCGGAGGGUGGGAUGUGAAAUCCCCUGGCUCAACCGGGGAAUAGCGUCCCAAACCGCCGUGCUCGAGGGAGACAGAGGUGAGCGGAACUGAUGGUGGAGCGGUGAAAUUCGUAGAUAUUCGCAAGAACACCAGUGGCGAAGGCGGCUCACUGGCCCGGUACUGACGCUGAGGUGCGAAAGCGUGGGGAGCGAACAGG
rnacentral:rRNA from 1 species